GAUGAACGCUGGCGGCGUGCCUAAUACAUGCAAGUCGAGCGAACGGACGAGAAGCUUGCUUCUCUGAUGUUAGCGGCGGACGGGUGAGUAACACGUGGAUAACCUACCUAUAAGACUGGGAUAACUUCGGGAAACCGGAGCUAAUACCGGAUAAUAUUUUGAACCGCAUGGUUCAAAAGUGAAAGACGGUCUUGCUGUCACUUAUAGAUGGAUCCGCGCUGCAUUAGCUAGUUGGUAAGGUAACGGCUUACCAAGGCAACGAUGCAUAGCCGACCGGAGAGGGUGGAUGGCCACAUUGGAACUGAGACAGGGACCAGACACCUACGGGAGGAAGCAGUAGGGAAUCUUCCGCAAUGGAGGAAAGCCUGACGGAGCAACGCCGCGUGAGUGAUGAAGGUCCUCGGAUCGUAAAACUCUGUUAUUAGGGAAGAACAUAUGUGUAAGUAACUGUGCACAUCUUGACGGUACCUAAUCAGAAAGCCACGGCUAACUACGUG
rnacentral:rRNA from 1 species